AUUGAACGCUGGCGGCAGGCCUAACACAUGCAAGUCGAGCGAGCGGCGGACGGGUGAGUAAUGUCUGGGAAAAUGCCUGAUGGAGGGGGAUAACUACUGGAAACGGUAGCUCAUACCGCAUACCCUCAGAUGUGCCCAGAUGGGAUUAGCUAGUAGGGGGGGUAACGGCUCACCUAGGCGACGAUCCCUAGCUGGUCUGAGAGGAUGACCCGCCACACUGGAACUGCGACACGGUCCAGAAUCCGACGUGAGGCAGCAGUGGGGAAUAUUGCACAAUGGGCGCAAGCCUGAUGCAGCCAUGCCGCGUGUGUGAAGAAGGCCUUCGGGUUGUAAAGCACUUUCAGCGGGGAGGCGUUACCCGCAGAAGAAGCACCGGCUAACUCCGUGCCAGCAGCCGCGGUAAUAC
rnacentral:rRNA from 1 species